rnacentral:tRNA from 2 species
CGGAGUGUAGCGCAGCCUGGUAGCGCACAUUGUUCGGGACGAUGGGGUCGCAGGUUCAAAUCCUGCCACUCCGACCA